rnacentral:rRNA from 1 species
UAGGGAAUCUUCGGCAAUGGGGGCAACCCUGGCCGAGCAACGCCGCGUGAGUGAAGAAGGUUUUCGGAUCGUAAAGCUCUGUUGUAAGAGAAGAACGUGUGUGAGAGUGGAAAGUUCACACAGUGACGGUAACUUACCAGAAAGGGACGGCUAACUACGUGCCG